UACGUAGGGUGCGAGCGUUAAUCGGAAUUACUGGGCGUAAAGCGUGCGCAGGCGGUUUUGUAAGUCAGGUGUGAAAUCCCCGGGCUUAACCUGGGAAUGGCAUUUGGGACUGCAAGGCUCGAGUGCGGCAGAGGAGACUGGAAUUCCUGGUGUAGCAGUGAAAUGCGUAGAUAUCAGGAGGAACACCGAUGGCGAAGGCAGGUCUCUGGACAGUUCCUGACACUGAGACACGAAGGCCAGGGGAGCAAACGGG
rnacentral:rRNA from 1 species